rnacentral:lncRNA from 1 species
CAGGGGGCCCGUGGGCCCAUUCCAGCAGCCCUCCCUCCCCUCCCGCAGGCAGCUGUCCCCGCAUUCAGCAGUGGGGGGCAUAGGACCCCCGGAAAUAGACCAGAAAGGGCUCCGAGAAGCCCCUCCUGGACCCGGGGGCCGAGGAUGCCCCAUUAAGGCAUCCAGGCUGGAGACAGCACGUGUGCAGCUCUGUCGGUGUGGAUGUCUCCAGCAGCUGGGCCACGAGCUCACCAGGAGGCUGCCCUUCAACCUGGCUCAAUCCUGGCAGCAUGUGCA